AUGGCUUCAAGUUGGACACCGAAACAAAACAAGUUGUUUGAAAAAGCACUUGCAAAAUAUGACAAAGAUACUCCGGAUCGUUGGCAAAAUGUAGCAAAAGCAGUUGGUGGUAAAUCAGUUGAGGAAGUUAAGAGACACUAUGAGUUACUGUUGGAGGAUCUCAAACACAUUGAGUCCGGUCAUGUUCCUAUUCCAAAUUACAAAUCCACGUGA